rnacentral:rRNA from 1 species
GACGAACGCUGGCGGCGUGCUUAACACAUGCAAGUCGAACGGAAAGGCCCUGCUUGGGGGGGGUGCUCGAGUGGCGAACGGGUGAGUAACACGUGAGUAACGUGCCCUUGACUUUGGGAUAACUUCAGGAAACUGGGGCUUAUACCGGAUAGGAGCUUCUGCUGCAGGGUGGGGGUGGGAGAGUCGCGGGGGUUGGGGAUGGACUCGCGGCUUAUCAGCUUUUGGGGGGGGGAGUGGCUUACCAAGGCUUUGCCGGGGAGCCGGCCUGAGAGGGUGACCGGCACAAUUGGGACUGAGAUACGGCCCAUACUCCUACGGGAGGAAGCAGUGGGGAAUAUGGCACAAGGGGCGGAAGCCUGAUCCAGCACCGCCGCGUGCGGGAUGCCGGCCUUCGGGUGGUAACCCGCUUUCCCCUGUGACGAACCGUGAGUGACGGUAAUGGGUAAAGAAGCACCGGCUAACUACGUG